GGAAAGUGGAAUUUCCCAAGCGUAGCGGGGGAAAUGCGUUAGGUUUUUUGGAGGAACCACCAGCGGGGGAAGGGGGCUUACUGGUUUUUUAAUUGAACGCGGAGGCUGGAAAAGCGUGGGUAGCAAAACAGGAUUAGAUACCCUGGUUGUCCCACGCUGUAAAAAGAUGAGUGCUAAGUGUUAGGGGGUUUCCGCCCCCUUAGUGCUGGAGUUAACGCAUUAAGCACUCCGCCUGGGGAGUAACGGCCGCAAGGCUGAAACUCAAAGGAAUUGACGGGGACCCGCACAAGCGGUGGAGCAUGUGGUUUAAUUUGAAGCAACGCGAAGAACCUUACCAGCUCUUGACAUCAUCUGACCACCCUAGAGAUAGGGCUUUCCCUUCGGGGACAGAUAGACAGGUGGUGCAUGGUUGUCGUCAGCUCGUGUCGUGAGAUGUUGGGUUAAGUCCCAUAACGAGCGCAACCCUUAUUGUUAGUUGCCAGCAUUCAGUUGGGCACUCUAGCGAGACUGCCGGUGAUAAACCGGAGGAAGGUGGGGAUGACGUCAAAUCAUCAUGCCCCUUAUGAGCUGGGCUACACGCGUGCUACAAUGGUCGGUACAACGAGGAGCUACACAGCGAUGUGAUGCAAAUCUCUUAAAGCCGAUCCCAGUUCGGAUUGCAGGCUGCAAUUCGCCUGCAUGAAGUCGGAGUUGCUAGUAAUCGUGGAUCAGAAUGCCGCGGUGAAUGCGUUCCCGGGUCUUGUACACACCGCCCGUCA
rnacentral:rRNA from 1 species